rnacentral:rRNA from 1 species
GGUUAAGUGACUAAGCGUACAUGGUGGAUGCCUUGGCAGUCAGAGGCGAUGAAGGACGUACUAACCUGCGAUAAGCCGUGAGCAGUCGGUAAGAGACAUUACGACUCACGGAUUUCCGAAUGGGGAAACCCACCCGAGAUAACUCGGGUAUCUGUUACUGAAUACAUAGGUAACAGAGGCGAACCGGGAGAACUGAAACAUCUAAGUACCCCGAGGAAAAGAAAUCAACCGAGAUUCCCUCAGUAGCGGCGAGCGAACGGGGAUUAGCCCUUAAGCAUCUUGGAAGUUAGUGGAACGGUCCUGGAAAGGCCGGCGAUACAGGGUGAUAGCCCCGUACACGAAA